rnacentral:rRNA from 1 species
UUGAACGCUGGCGGCAGGCCAAACACAUGCAAGUCGAGCGGAUGAAGGGAGCUUGCUCCUGGAUUCAGCGGCGGACGGGUGAGUAAUGCCUAGGAAUCUGCCUGGUAGUGGGGGAUAACGUCCGGAAACGGGCGCUAAUACCGCAUACGUCCUGAGGGAGAAAGUGGGGGAUCUUCGGACCUCACGCUAUCAGAUGAGCCUAGGUCGGAUUAGCUAGUUGGUGGGGUAAAGGCCUACCAAGGCGACGAUCCGUAACUGGUCUGAGAGGAUGAUCAGUCACACUGGAACUGAGACACGGUCCAGACUCCUACGGGAGGCAGCAGUGGGGAAUAUUGGACAAUGGGCGAAAGCCUGAUCCAGCCAUGCCGCGUGUGUGAAGAAGGUCUUCGGAUUGUAAAGCACUUUAAGUUGGGAGGAAGGGCAGUAAGUUAAUACCUUGCUGUUUUGACGUUACCAACAGAAUAAGCACCGGCUAACUUCGUG